ensembl:lncRNA
UUUUUUUUUUUUUUUUCUUUCUUUUUUUUUGUCUUUUUUUCAUUUUUUAAUUAAUCAAAUGAAUUUAUCACAUCUGUAGUUGUAUAAUGAUCAUACCAAUCUGAUUUCACAGGAUUUCCAUCCCACAGCCCAAGCACAUCCCCCCACCCCCCAAACUGUCUCCUCAGGAGACCAUAAGUUUCUCAAUGUCUGUGAGUCAGCAUCUGUUCUGCAAAGAAGUUCUGUCUGUCCUUUUUUCAGAUUCCACAUGUCAGUGAAAGAAUUUGAUGUUGGUGUCUCAUUGUAUGGCUGACUUCACUUAGCAUGAUAGUUUCUAGGUCCAUCCAUGUUGCUAAAAAUGCUGGUAUUUCGUUCUUUUUGAUGGCUGAGUAAUAUUCCAGCCGCACCCACAGCAAAUGGAAGUUCCCAGGCUAGGGAUCAAGUUGGAGCUACAGCCGCUGGCCCACAGCCACGCAGGAUCCGAGCCGCGUCUGUGACCUACAUCACAGUUCAUGGCAAUGCCAGAUCCUUAACCCACUGAGCAAGGCCAGGGAUCAAACCCACAUCCUCGUGGAUAUAUCAGAUUGGUUACUGCUGAGCCACAAAGGGAACUCCCUUAACUUUUCAUUUUAGCAUAAUUUUAGACAUUCAAAGACUUUUCAAAAAUAGUCAAAAGUCCCCAUAUAUCCUUCACUGAACUUCUGCAAAGAUUAAUUAUGUAGCUAAAACCACAAAGAUGUUCAAAAUCAAGAAAUUGUUGAUAUAAUACAAUGAACAAAUCAAUAGAUCUUAUUCUAAUUUCAUCGCCUUUCCCACUAAUGCCUUUUUUCUGAACUAGGAUCCAAUCUAGGAUCACUCACUGCAUUUAGUUGUUUUAUCUCCUAAUUCCCAUUAAUCUGGGCCAGUUCCUCAGAAUUCCUUAUACUUUCCUGACCUUCACAUUUUUAAAAGUAUUAGCCACUUAUUUUGUAGAAUGACCCUCAGUUUGAGAUAAUCUAAUAUUUCUUUAUGAUUCGAUUUAGAUUAUGCAGUUCUGGCAAAAAGAGCACAGGAGCCGUGCUGUGCCUUCUCAGUCCGUUAUAUCAGGCCCAUGGUAUCAGGAUAUUUCAUUACUGGUGAUGUUAACUUUGAACACUUGCCUAAGGUUUCUCAACUCUGAAGUGACUACUGUUUUACUUGGCAGCUUUAAAAACUACCAGUGCCUGGGCCACAGCACAGGCAAAUUUGGGGGAAAAAAAAAAAAGACUCUCUGGGAAUAAGGCACAGGCAUUGCUAGGUCUAGAUGACCUGGCUUCUAACUAGCAUCCAGGUUUGGAAACCACCAGCUGAGACAAUGACAUUAGAAUUCUGGAAGUCAGUCAAAAAAGUCCUUAUAUGAGCCAGCCUUUUUCAGAGAACAGCCAGUUCAAGGCACAGAUAAAUUUAUCUGGACUUUGGCAUGAACUAAAAGUAGGGGAUGGGAAAGGCCAAAAAUCCCCUGAUAGAGAAAGUGAUGGGUGAGUAGGUUGCUGCCCAGUGAAAGAGAAGGCAGGAUGCCAAGUAAAGUGUCCAGCCCUCCUAGUCUAUUUUCUCUCCGGACCUGAGAGAAAUCUUUGCUGCAGUGAAAACACACAUGGCAUAAUUUUCCUGUCAGGAGCCUGUGAGCUCCUAAGUGCCACUGAGGGAGGGAAUUACGGAUCAUGUGAUAUGUGGCCACACAUGUAACACUUCCAGGUACAGUUGAAUGAAUAAUUCACAGCACCUAGGUCAGAAGUAUGCGACCUCCCUUAAAUAGCCGUGCCCUCCCCACCUGUUCUUUUGUCCUUAGUGUCUUCUGAAAUAAGAGAGUAAGGACCUCAGCCAAGACAUGGAAACAACCUAAAUGCCCAUGGACAGAGGAGUGGAUAAAGAAGAUGUAGUACAUAUACACAAUGGAAUAUUACUCAGCCAUCAAAAGGAAAGAAAUAACGGCAUUUGCAGCAACAUGGAUGGACCUAGAAAUUAUCAUGCUAAGUGAAGUCGGUCAGACAAUAAGAAACCAACAUCAUAUGCUAUCACUUACAUGUGGAAUCUAAAAAAAGGACACAAUGAACUUUGCAGAACAGAUACUGAUUCACAGACUUUGAAAAACUCAUGGUUUCCAAAUGAGACAGGUUGGGGGGUGGGGGGAUACACUGGGGGUUUGGGAUGGAAAUGCUAUAAAAUUUGGUUGUGAUGAUCAUUGUACAACUAUAAAUGUAAUAAAAUUCAUUGAGUAAUUAAAAAAAGAGAGUAAGGACCUUGUACAUUUCAUGAAAUAGGAAAUUGUACACAUGUUCUGUCACCAGGCUGUUGAAGCAAUGACUUUGUGCUCAACUUCCUUAAUGUUAUUAUCUUGGGGUUGCCAGAGAGAGAUUUCAUCAACCCCUUCCUUGGAUGAGCCAUUCAAUAAGAUGCAAAGGGAAACACAAAUUUACCUGAAAUGCAGAGGCUAGAGGACCUCAACAAGAACUAGCCGUAAAGUAUUCACAAACCAUAAGGAUCUGGUGCUGCUGGUGCAGGAGGAGCUUCUGCUAAGCAGUAAGUGACCAAAGAAAAGGCAGGAAGUACUCUAAAACUCAGGGAAUACUAAAACAAAUUAAUUCAAUUAUCCCUCAAUUAUUACACAAUUUUCCCUAAAGCCUCUCUAUGGGAUCUUACUAAAAGGGCUGGUACAUAAGAAAUGCUAUAGGCAGGGAUGAAAUAACUUAGAGAAAGAUGGGAUUGACUAGGCCAGGAAUGGCUGGGAAGAUUUCAUAGAAGAGGCAGGAUUCAGGUUAGACCUUUGAAUGGUUAAGCAUUAGGGAAACAGAGACAGAAAGAAACACAAGCACAGGGAACCAACUGUCAGGUAUCACUGUAGAUGCAAAUUUUGAAAAGGAUUUCAGAUGUGGAGUGGGUUUGCAUGUACUUUUAUCUACUCCACUCAAUCCCUGUAUGCAGUUAUUUCAGAGGAGGAUGCUGGUUCUCCGAAAGGUGAAGCGACUUGCCAGCGUCAGUGGUGGAUCUGGAAUUAGAAAGUAGCUAUACCUAACUCCAAAGCCCAUGCCAAUACCACUACCACUGAGAAAGGAUUGCACACAGACUGUUUAGGGAAAGGAAGGAGCAAGGAUGGCUACAGAGGAAAACAGCGUUAAGAAACAGGGAAUUUAAGUAACUUGCAAAAGUGGGAACCAGUGUCAUACAGCCAUGAAGAUGAGACAGACAUAUGAAAUUGAUCUCGCAAUUACAUUCAGAGCCACGAUG